rnacentral:lncRNA from 1 species
UACAUCGCCAUAAAGGCAUUACGUAGGGGGGAACAAAACAUAACCAGUAAUACAGAAAAGCUUUUGCACAGAUAUACUCACAAACAGAAGCACUACAAUACCUUUGUAGAAAAUGGCAUACAAA